rnacentral:lncRNA from 1 species
UCCAUUUCUUUUCAAAUUUCAGCCUUUGUUCCAACCAAUAUAUUUUAGGCCUUUUUUCAAAGCCCGAAUAGAUUUGGUCCAAUAGGCAUUUCGGCCAUUUUUCUUUUGGGCUAUAUAUUUCUUUUUCUGGCCACUUUUAGUCAAGAAAUGAAUUUCAAGUGAAUAAAAAGUAAUAUUCUGAGUUCAGCGAGCAAGUAUACAUCAAGUUCAGCGAGCAAAUAUACAUCAAAUUCCCAGCAUGUUCAGCAGUACAUCAAAUUUCUCAAGAAUAUUAGCAUUACAAAUUCAGUAAUAUAUAAAGCAAGUUGUUGACUGGGGCUUCGGGCUUCUUCAAAUGUCUUCAGCCCAGAACUCCUGUAAAUGAGAGGAAUAGUCACAUGUUUAUAGUCUUAAUAUAAGCAAUAUUUGCUAACAACAAAACAGAACAAUUAAUCUAAGAACCAUGCAAGAACCUAGGUGUCCAAAUCAGAUUAUGCAACAUCGAUUGACACUAAAGACAUAAAUAGUCACCAGAUGGGCAUCAAAUCAUCACAAUAGUUUCUCGAUAGAUGAUAAAAAAAGAACAGAAUGUAGAUGGCAGUGAGUUAAGCAAGCACCACAAUAACAGAAACAUGUUGUCAGUGGAAUGGAUGGUAACACAAACAUCUACUCU